AAGUCGUAACAAGGUUUCCGUAGGUGAACCUGCGGAAGGAUCAUUAAAAAAAAUUAAAAAUUUUAUAAAGGAUUAAGCUUUUAUCUUACUGAUAAUCGCUUUCCUUUAUAAAUAUCCACCUUAUUGUGAACUGUUUUAUUGUGUCCCUGGCAAAUUUUUGACUGAAAAGAAAAUAAAUUUGCCAGAAGUUUUUUUUAAAAGCAAAUAUUCUCGAAAGAGAAUGCGCCUUUGCCUUUAAAAAGAAGCACAUUAUAAAAACUUUAUGAAAAAAUUUGACUGAAAAAAUAAACGUAUAUUUUUAAUAUAUAAUAAAAAAACAACUUUUGACAACGGAUCUCUUGGCUCUC
rnacentral:misc_RNA from 1 species